AUUGAACGCUGGCGGCAGGCUUAACACAUGCAAGUCGAGCGGGGGAGGUUGCUUCGGUAACUGACCUAGCGGCGGACGGGUGAGUAAUGCUUAGGAAUCUGCCUAUUAGUGGGGGACAACAUUCCGAAAGGGAUGCUAAUACCGCAUACGCCCUACGGGGGAAAGCAGGGGAUCUUCGGACCUUGCGCUAAUAGAUGAGCCUAAGUCGGAUUAGCUAGUUGGUGUGGUAAAGGCCUACCAAGGCGACGAUCUGUAGCGGGUCUGAGAGGAUGAUCCGCCACACUGGGACUGAGACACGGCCCAGACUCCUACGGGAGGCAGCAGUGGGGAAUAUUGGACAAUGGGCGGAAGCCUGAUCCAGCCAUGCCGCGUGUGUGAAGAAGGCCUUUUGGUUGUAAAGCACUUUAAGCGAGGAGGAGGCUCUUAAGGUUAAUACCCUUGAUGAGUGGACGUUACUCGCAGAAUAAGCACCGGGUAACUCUGUGCCAGCAGCCGCCGUAACAC
rnacentral:rRNA from 1 species